rnacentral:rRNA from 1 species
GAAGGUGGCGAGCGUUGUUCGGAUUCACUGGGCAUAAAGGGCGCGUAGGCGGCCUUGUAAGCGGCGUGUGAAAGCCCGGAGCUCAACUCCGGAACUGCAUGCCGAACUGCAGGGCUAGAGGACGGGAGGGGAGUGUGGAACUCUAGGUGGAGCGGUGAAAUGCGUAGAUAUCUAGAGGAACGCCGGUGGCGAAAGCGACACUCUGGCCCGACCCUGACGCUGAGGCGCGAAAGCGUGGGGGUAGCAAACAGGAUUAGAUACCCUGGUAGUCCACGCCGUAAACGAUGAGCACUAGGUAGCCGUCGGAUCCGACCGGUGGCUGCUGCAGGUAAUCCAUUAAGUGCUCCGCCUGGGGAGUAUGGUCGCAAGGCUG